UCGACCGAUUAUCGGCCGGGCCGAUUAUCGCCGCCGAUAUUCAGCAUUUUGACGCAUAUCGGCAUCGGCCUUUUUUAAAAUUCGACAGCCGAUAAGAGAUCAAUUUAAAACUGGGUUAUUUUGGCUCUGAUGCAGCCGCGCCUCUCUGUCUGCUGUCACUACUCUGUCGCCAGCAUUGUCCCACCCACAGCACCAUCUGAUUGGUUACAAGCAGAGCCACGGUAACAGCCAAUCAGCAGUGUAAGCUGUGCAUGAACAGUCCUUACACACACGGUGGAGAAGGUCCGGAGAGCAAAUACUUGUUUUGAAGGGCCAUAUUUCUGAGAGCGGUAGCCACGGCACACACCACUUUGUCGUUGUCUAUCCUCAGUAACUCCACCAGGAUGGGAAGGCCUUUCUCCUUGCGGACAGCAGCCCGGAUGUACACAGACCACUGACAGGGAGAAAGUAGGGAGACUGGCUGUGAAUUAAAGUGGAAAAUGGGAUGAGAGACAGAUGAAGCAUAAUGGGUGAGGUCAAAUGGGAGAUGUUAUAUUCAGGGGUAAUAUGAGAGCAACUGAGGCAUUACACUGACUCACAAGUGAUAUACUGCAAGAUGGAGAAUUAUAUGAACCAGAGAGAAAGGUUUGGAGCUUGGAGACCACUCUAUCCUCCCUCAACAACUAUCAAGGUACACUUAAAUGGUCCACUCGACCUUAAACGGCUGAAGUGGUGCCGCCUUGUGGGUCAACAGUAGAAAACUGGGGAGGUGCUAAACAUCACCCCAGAAUGGAUAUCAGUCAGUGAAGUGGAAGCUGGAUGUUUCUGUCAAAAGCAUAAUUUACCCUUCCAGGGUAUGUUAUGGUUAAAGCACAGUAUUGUUUUUCUUAGAGACCAAAAUGGACAAACUAUGGUUCAUAUAAUCAUUUUAGGAAAUAAUUCACCCUUAGAGGGAAAUUAUCACAUGUCUUAGCCAAGAGCUUAGUGAGCAGAGUGUGCCAGCAGUACGCCAACACAGCUUCAUUGGAAACUGUUAGCAGCCGUAUUCUCAAAGCCAGGAGAGGGAGCUUGCUGAGAGGAGACACAACAAAGCACACACACGCACACACAGUGAGGCCCAAAAUAGAAAAUGUGAUUUCCUGAAGACCACCUGCCCCCAUCGUUUCCUCCUUCUCCUUUGUCUUCCUAUGUAGCUCUCUCUCUUUUCACCUACCAAUGGUAUCCCUCAUCAUACCAAAAUCAGAUACACAUAACUCCCUCACACGUCAACACAACAUCCCUCUCAAAGUGUGGUUGCCUGUCUCAUGAUCCCUCCUGAGUUUGUUGUCAUGUAAAUUGCUGACUAAUCAUUUUUGAGCAAAUAAA